GUGCACCAGGCGCGAAACCUCCGCAAUACACGAAAGUGUGACGGGGCCAUCCCGAGUGCCGUCCGCUGAGGACGGCUUUCCCCAGUGUACAUAGCUGGGGGAAUAAGGAGAGGGCAAGCCUGGUGUCAGCCGCCGCGGUAAUACCAGCUCUCCGAGUGGUGGGGACGCUUAUUGGGCCUAAAGCAUCCGUAGCCGGCUGGGCAAGUCCUCCGUUAAAUCCAACGAUUCAAUCGUUGGGCUGCGGGGGAUACUGUCCAGCUUGGGGCGGGAGAGGCCGACGGUAUUCCCGGGGUAGGGGUGAAAUCCUAUAAUCCCGGGAGGACCACCAGUGGCGAAGGCUGUCGGCUAGAACGCGCCCGACGGUGAGGGAUGAAAGCUGGGGGAGCGAACCGGAUUAGAUA
rnacentral:rRNA from 1 species